rnacentral:sRNA from 1 species
AAACGAUGUCCCGCAGCUGUUGAGGCUGAU